rnacentral:misc_RNA from 1 species
AACAAGGCGUACCUGCGGACCUGCGGAAGGAUCAUCACAGUGUGUGGUGUCUCUACACCAAUCUUGUGUGAACUGUUGUGUGUGUGUUGGUGUGUGAUGUGCUGUGGCACUCCCACCACCACAAAUAUCACCUUCAAUCUUUGUCUAACAUGUACCCACAAUCUAAACAACUUUUAACAACGGAUCU